UACGAAGGGGGCUAGCGUUGCUCGGAAUCACUGGGCGUAAAGCGCACGUAGGCGGCUUCUUAAGUCAGGGGUGAAAGCCUGGGGCUCAACCCCAGAACUGCACUUGAUACUGAGGAGCUUGAGUCCAGGAGAGGUGAGUGGAACUCCGGGUGUAGCGGUGAAAUUCGUAGAUAUUCGGAAGAACACCAGUGGCGAAGGCGGCUGACUGGACCGGAACUGACGCUGAGGCGCGAAAGCGUGGGGAGCAAACAGG
rnacentral:rRNA from 1 species